GACGUAGGGCGCGAGCGUUGUCCGGAUUUAUUGGGCGUAAAGAGUUCGUAGGCGGUUUGUUAAGUCGAAUGUGAAAGCCCUGGGCUCAAUCCAGGAAGUGCAUUCGAUACUGGCAAGCUGGAGUGCAGGAGAGGAAGGCGGAAUUCCAGGUGUAGAGGUGAAAUUCGUAGAUAUCUGGAGGAACAACAGAGGCGAAGGCGGCCUUCUGGACUGUCACUGACGCUGAGGAACGAAAGCGUGGGGAGCAAACAGG
rnacentral:rRNA from 1 species